rnacentral:rRNA from 1 species
AGGGUUUGAUCAUGGCUCAGGAUGAACGCUAGCGGCAGGCUUAACACAUGCAAGUCGAACGGUAACAUGAGUGCUUGCACUUGAUGACGAGUGGCGCACGGGUGCGUAACGCGUAUGCAACCUACCUUUAACUGGAGAAUAGCCUUUAGAAAUGAAGAAUAAUACUCCAUAAUAUUUACUUACGGCAUCGUAAGUAUCUUAAAGCUUCGGCGGUUAAAGAUGGGCAUGCGUUCUAUUAGUUAGUUGGUGAGGUAAUGGCUCACCAAGACUUCGAUAGAUAGGGGGCCUGAGAGGGUUAUCCCCCACACUGGUACUGAGACACGGACCAGACUCCUACGGGAGGCAGCAGUGAGGAAUAUUGCACAAUGGACGAAAGUCUGAUGCAGCCAUGCCGCGUGCAGGAUGAAUGCCCUAUGGGUUGUAAACUGCUUUUAUAUAGGAAGAAACUUUUCUACGUGUAGAGAACUGACGGUACUAUAAGAAUAAGGACCGGCUAACUCCGUGCCAGCAGCCGCGGUAAUACGGAGGGUCCAAGCGUUAUCCGGAUUCAUUGGGUUUAAAGGGUCCGCAGGCGGGAAAAUAAGUCAGUGGUGAAAGCCUACAGCUUAACUGUAGAACUGCCAUUGAUACUGUUUUUCUUGAGUAUAGAUGAAGUGGGCGGAAUAUAUCAUGUA